rnacentral:rRNA from 1 species
GAUGAACGCUGGCGGCGUGCCUAAUACAUGCAAGUCGGACGGAGCGCUUCGGCGCUCAGUGGCGAACGGGUGAGUAGCACAUGGGCAACCUGCCCUUCAGAGGGGGACAACAGUUGGAAACGACUGCUAAUACCGCAUAAGCCCACAGCUCGGCAUCGAGCAGAGGGAAAAGGAGUGAUCCGCUUUGAGAUGGCCUCGCGUCCGAUUAGCUGGUUGGUGAGGUAACGGCCCACCAAGGCGACGAUCGGUAGCCGGACUGAGAGGUUGAACGGCCACAUUGGGACUGAGACACGGCCCAG